GGCAUAAAUUACUUUCUCUUUGUGGCUGUUUUUCUUGAUCCUCGUUACAAGUAUGAGUAUGUUGAAUUUUGUCUUAAUCGAGUGUAUGGGUUGAAUCAAGCCAAAGAUAUGUUGAAAAAUUGAAGGAUAUCAUUCAUAAGUUGUUUGAGUAUUACUCCAUGAUAUAUCCGCUUCCGGAUGGUAGUUCUUCUAGUAGUUUUAAUUCUAGCAUUGCCUCUCAUGAUCAUGGGGUUGGUGGUGAAAAUGCAAAUGAGGAGGAAGAUGGCUUCGAAGAUGAGUUUAGAUUGAGGGUUAAAAAAAAUCAAGGUGAGGUCAAAAGAAAUGAAUUGGAAAGAUACAUGGAAGAUGAUGUGGAGGAUAACAUUCCCGGUUUUUACAUUUUGCGUUGGUGGAAAUUGAAAUCAAUGAAGUAUUAUGCUCUUGCUCACAUGGCUAGGGAUUUGUUGGCUAUUUCCGUCUCUACCGUGUCUUCUGAGUCGGCAUUUAGUACUAGUGGUCGUGUGCUUGACUAAUUUAGAAGCUCAUUAAGUCCUUCUACUAUUGAGUCUCUAAUUUGCUCACAAAAUUGGUUGAAGACUCAAGAGAAGAUGUAUGACUUAAAGCAAGAACUUGAGGACCAAGAAAAACUUGAAUUAGGUCACAACUCCUCUCUUGAAUAUGCUUGGUUGAUGGAGCGAAGGAUUAUGGAGUGAAGACUUUGAAAAUUAGACAAAUAUUUCUAUUGCACUUUUGUAUUUAGCUUCUAAUGUUUAGAUUUUAAUGUGUUUUGGUUUUAGCUUCUUUCAAAGAUUAUUCACUAGAUUUUUGUAUUUAACUUCUAAUAUUUCUAUUGCACUUUUAUAUUUUCAUUAGACAAAGAUUAUUCACUAUUAAUACGUUUGGAUUUUGAUGAGUUUAGUUUUUAAUGUAUUUG